CUCACCAGGGCUGGGUAGUGGACACAGGCCCGGGUGCUUAGAGGUCCCCCCCUACUAACCACAGUGGAGGGUUCAGGUUGGGUUUCACUGGUGUAAUGAGGGACGAGGCAAGCACUGAGGACCAUGUCUGUCUGGAGCUGUUGGGCACCACGCGCGGCCGUGUGGGGAGAGGCUUCCUGAGAACGUCGCCAACACAGGAAAGUGGAGCAGAGAGACUGAGGAGAGCAUCCUGGGACAUGGUUUGGGUCCGCGAUGCGUCUGGGACUGAAGCCAGCAGCCCCGCUAGAUUUCCAGAAGGCUCACUUUGAUUGCGACAUGCUUUGUUACAAUGGUCUGGAACCAAACCUGCAAUAUCUCCGAGGUAUGCCUGUACAGAAACCAAAAGUUAACAGCAUAAGGGCCACAGCUCAAUGGCGAGUCAGAAUCACAGCAGCCUUCUUCCUCCUCCGCCCACCCUCCCCCAGCCAGCUGUGGCCCUGAUGGCAUUGCUCCAGAUCGGAGAGAAAAGUGAGGAGGGAAACGGGAGUGAAGAAGGGCACCCCAGGAGUUACCUUCUCUGUGGAUUAGAAGGAAGCUGCCAGGAGGGCCCUUUAGAAGCUCUCCAGGAUCCCAAGGGUACUAGAUGCAGAGGAAUUGUGAUCCUGAGUAUUAACUUCCGUUUUGCACCAUCAAGCACACACAUCGCCAUAAACAAGGCAGAAAUCUCAGCUCUCACUGCUGCCAACCAAUCCUGAGAAGCAGGAAGUAAGACUGAAAAGUGGCAACAGUAGGAUUAUCAAAUGCUCUGUCUGCCUGUGCAGAGACCUGUGCCUGGAGUAAGGCACCCUGAAAGUGACCGUCCAGGGGUGUCUUCACUGAGGGGCAGACACACACCUUUCCUGGGCACAGAAGGAAGCUUUCACAGCACCCAUAUUCCACAAGAAUUCUUCAGUUUUUACAUGGAAAAGUCUUUUGUUUUCUUUUCCCUCGCUUUAAAGCCUCCUCCCAGAUUUCACCAAAGCCUGUUAGGAGUUCAUCUUCCCUGUGAGAUUUGUUUUCUCGCUUAUGUGAAAAGCACCUAAGCUGUUUUCUUGAUGGCAAGGCCAAUAGCUAAAACCAGAGUGUGUUAUCUCAAACACGGACAUGCAUUCAUUUAAAAAAAAAAAAAAAUUCCAA